UAACAGCUAGAUGAGCUCUUCCUAUUUCUGCAACAAUUUUUAACGUUCCCACUCUGUUCUGUUUUCUUCUUGCUGCUGCAAGUUUUAAAAAAAAAAAAUUGAAAACAAAAAGCAAAAAUAGAAAGCAAUUUAUAGGAACAUACUUUGUGCAAAGCAUUUAAGAUGGAGUCAAGACAGGAGGGUAAUAUCCGUAAAUUACGCCAUCAUUGAGGACGGAGUAGACUGUCUGGCGUGGAAUUUAAUAGGGCUUGAGCUCUUUGUAACAUUUGUAGUGGGAUUUUUUGCAAUGAUUAUCUGAGCCUUGGUGGUGUGUAAUCUCAAAUAUCAAUGGAGGCUGCCGCUGCCACUUUAUGUGGUGAUGCGUCAGUGCAGCUUUGCAAUGGUGCUAAAGGGAGUGAGAAUUUGGGUGACGACCUCCUUGAGGACUUAGAUUCGUAUUUGGAAGAUCUCAAUGAUCGGUUGACAAUCUCUAGGAUGGUGAGUGAUUCUGUGAUUAAGGGCAUUGUGAGUGCAGUUGAACAGGAGGCUUCAGAAAGAAUUGCUGAAAAAGAGCUGGAGAUGGUUGGGCUGAAAGAGACAUUGCAUUUGUACUGUGUGGGUGAAGAUAAAAAUGGAUCACUGGGGUUCCAAGUACCAUCCCAUAAGCGAACGAGUGUGAAACAAGGGCUGCCUUUGAGCUUUUCAGGCACUUUAGAAGAGCAUGAUAGGAUGAGGCAAUCCUUAAAUAGCCUAAGAAUUGCAGCUAAGGGACAGUUUAAGAACCUCAAGAAAGAAAUUGAUCAGAUGAGAGGGUGUAGUUCUAUAAAGAGGAUUAGCUCCAACUCUGAAUUGGUAGGAUUGGGUGGCAUUCUAGAUGAGAAGGUAUCUGGAAAAUGGAUGGAUGUAGAUAGAGCACUUCAGAAUUUGAAAACUACACUGGAUGCGGUAUACAAACAGGUGGAUGAUAUGGUUUACAUGUCUAAGGCAUCACUUUCUGAGUGGCAGCAGGAGAAGGAGUUUCAAGGAGAAGUUGAAGCUAUGGUGAUCAGGAAUUCUAUAUGCAGUCUCCAAGAGGAGUUUGAAGAAAAAUUGUGGGACCAAAAUGCUCAAUUCUGUGGAAUCCAAAUUGUAAGCUGGCUUGAAAAGUUCAAUGAGAUAUCGAGCUUACGCCAAGAAUUAGAUACGAUUUCUAAGUUAUUGUCUUCCCCUGAAAUUGGGCAUCUGAUAUCACAUGGCUACGAGAGCAGUGAGGAAUGGAAUAAUGCUAAAAGGACAGAUCAUUUCCACCGCAAGGUCUCUGGUUCUCUUUGGGAGGGAAAUGGCAAACAUGGGGAUUCUAAAAUCACUUUGCCAGAGAAUUUGGAAUCUUCCCAACUGAAGCACAUGUCAAAGGAAGAAUUGUUUAAAUAUUUUAAAGCUGAGAUGACCAAGAUGAAGAGGAACCAUGAGUCUCAAGUGCAAGAGAUGACUGAAGAAUAUUUCAUUCUGAAGCGAGAAUUGUUUAAAGAAAGGGAAGCUUCUUUGCUGCUGAGGAAGGAUAAGGAGUUUGAUGUGUUGAAGAAAAAGAUACCACAGGUUAUCUCAAAACUGGAAUAUGUCCUUCUGGAAAAUGAGAAAUUACCUUCAGGCUGUAGUAAGGGUGAGAGUCUUGGCGGUUUGAAAGACAGAUUGGACGCCCUGCUAUCAGAGAACCGGAAGCUUAGGGACUUGCUUACAGAUAAGAAAAAGGAAGUUAAGUGCCUGACAAUGCUAGUUUCUGAUGCUGCAGAGAAAAAGUCAAAGCAUUCUUUGGCGGAGGCAAACUAUUCGAAAAUGAUAGGGAAUUUUAAGUGUGCUAUAGAAGAUGCACAUAUAGAGGCAUUUGUUAGUGAUGAGGUUUAUAAAUGUGUUCUCAGGGAGGUAACAGGCCAGAUCAGAUGUGACACCGAACAGUCAGAUCUGGAGUCUGUUAUCAUGCAAGAUAUUUGUGGAAUUAUUUUCAGAGAAGCUGUUCAUGAUGCCGAGGCUGCUGUUGAGUGUGGAAUUGGAGAUUCAGACAUGCAGUCUAUGAUAAUGCAAGAACUCUGCAAAAUCAUAUUCAGAGAGGCUUUUAAGGAUGCAGCAGCGGAAGUUAAUAUUUUGAAGACGAAGUAUGUUAGUGAAAAUGAUCUUCGGAUGUCCCUUGAAGGGAAAGUGUUGGAAGUAGAAAGAGCAUUAAAAUCGGAGAAUGAAGAGAAAGAAAGACUAAAGCAAGAGAUGCUCCUAAUGGCAUUAUCAAUGGAAGAAAAGGAUAAGUCAGAACUGGAAAUAGUAACUGCACUACAAAAGGAGAAGGAGCAGUUUGAUCUAACUUCUCAGGAACUUCACAGGUUAAGAGAGCAGGUCAGUCAGCAGCAGAUGUUGAUUUCUGAUGGCAGUAAAGAAUCAGAUUUGAUGAAGAGCAAAUUGGUAGAGGCUCUGGUGAAAAUUGAUCUAUAUGAGGGAGAAAUCAGCACAUUGAAUCAGAAGCUAGAUUUGACAUUGGAGGAAUUUAGGGAAACUGAUGAAAAAAGAAGGGUCCUUCUUGGUGUUGUCCAAGAGAAGCAAAAUAUCUUAGCUUUGGCUAAAACAGAAGAUUGUGAUAACAGGAAAAAGUUGGAAUCAAUUAUUACUCUUGCCCAUGGAUUAUUGAAAGCCAUUGCUGACCUUGAAUGCAGAGUAAUGGAAACUAUCAAACGGAAUAGUUUCAGAUUGGAAGACUCAACUUCUCAGUUGAGUUCUCUUAUCCAGAGAGCUAUUGUACUUAGACGGACCGGGGUUCUAUACAAGCAGAGGCUUGAAAAGAGAUGUUCUGACCUUCAAAAGGCUGAAGCUGAGGUUGAUCUUUUGGGGGAUGAGGCAGAUGCUCUUUUAAGUCUUCUGGAAAAAAUAUACAUAGCACUUGAUCAUUACUCGCCAAUAUUGCAGCACUAUUCUGGAAUAAUGGAGAUUUUGAAGCUAAUUAGAAGAGAAUUAAGUGGAGAAUCUAUAAAGCAAGUGUGAUUUUCUGGUUGACAAGGAAAGCAAUUUGCCCUUGCAAUUGGAGAAUUCUGCUCAAAGGUGAGCCUUGAGCCAUUGUUUAGGUGUGUUACCCUGUAACUGAAGGUUGCAACUCCAAGUCACGGAAGGAGCCACCCCAAAGGCCAGAGAUAUGAGGCUGCAUUGUUUUUGGGUGGUCAGGGCUCCGAUUUUUGCCAUUAGAGAAUUGAAGUAGGGCAAUCAUUUCUCAGCAAUCUACUUCAAAAACUGAAGUAAAUUAUUCUCACUGAAGUUCAGCCAAAACAGAUGCUCACUUCUUGACAAUGCCUAUUAUUUUAUUGCAAGUCUCAAAGGAAGGAUCUUUCAAGGAAAGGGGGAGAGAACCCAGAGAGUUGCAAGGAAUUUGCAGGUGGCUCGGGCGCUCAAUUGUUGUGGUAUAGUUUUUUGUCGUAUAUAUUUUUGUUCUUGAGGCUUUUAGGCCUGCCCCAAAAUCAGCAGUUUAGGAAAUUAUUGAUACCUUGCCUUCUAUUUUAUAGCUUCCUGUUCUGUUACUUUUUCUUCAGCUUUGUAUAGGUUCAAAAUGUAUAUUUGAUUUUCCAACGCUGUAAAAAAGAAAGAAAAUAGGUCAUAUUUUCGGGUCUGGGCCAUGGAAAUGUUUGCAUUAUUUACUACGAGGGUUUGUUAA